rnacentral:rRNA from 1 species
GCCAGCAGCUAUAUCGCCCUGCAACUCACAACUGGUAGCCCACUGAAGCUUAGUAGGUGUGAGCCUGGUCAGUACCUGGGUGACAGACCUCCUGGGAAAGUUAAGGUCGCUGCUGGAA